AUCCAGCUGAUGAGUCCCAAACAGGACGAAAUGCGCGUCCUGGGU
rfam:Schistosoma mansoni strain Puerto Rico chromosome 1, complete genome